GACGAACGCUGGCGGCAUGCCUAAUACAUGCAAGUCGAGCGAACAGAUGAAGUGCUUGCACUUCUGACGUUAGCGGCGAACGGGUGAGUAACACGUAAGGAAUCUACCUAUAAGCGGGGGAUAACAUUCGGAAACGGGUGCUAAUACCGCAUAAUAUCUUCUUCCGCAUGGAAGAAGAUUGAAAGACGGCUCUGCUGUCACUUAUAGAUGACCUUGCGGUGCAUUAGUUAGUUGGUGGGGUAACGGCCUACCAAGACGAUGAUGCAUAGCCGACCGGAGAGGGUUAUCGGCCACAUUGGGACUGAGACACGGCCCAAACUCCUACGGGAGGCAGCAGUAGGGAAUCUUCCGCAAUGGGCGAAAGCCUGACGGAGCAAUGCCGCGUGAGUGAAGAAGGCCUUCGGGUCGUAAAACUCUGUUAUAAGAGAAGAACAAAUUGUAGAGUAACUGCUACAGUCUUGACGGUAUCUUAUCAGAAAGCCACGGCUAACUACGUGCCAGCCGCCGCGGUAA
rnacentral:rRNA from 1 species